GAUGUGGAGGUUUUUUGCUGGCCGCUUAAAAAAGGGUUCAGCUCCUCUGAAAUACAUUAGCGGGACAAGCCUGUCCAUUCAUUGGUGUGAUAACUAUCUACGCUGUUGAAUGUGAGGCAGUUCAGCUUUCUAACAGUCCUUUGGACAACCUUAUCAUUUUAUGUGACCUCAAAUCAGGUAGGACUACCCGCUGAACUUAA
rnacentral:misc_RNA from 1 species